rfam:Rhizobium sp. Leaf306 contig_2, whole genome shotgun sequence.
CUUCCUCGAUCUGCUGCGGGCAGAUGAAAUGGAUAUGCGCAUCCAUGCCGCCGGCGGUCAGGAUCUUGCCUUCGCCGGCAAUCGCCUCGGUGGAUGGUCCGACGAUGAUCGUCACGCCCGGUUGCGUAUCCGGAUUGCCCGCCUUGCCGAUCGCAUGGAUCCGGCCGUCCUUCAGACCGACAUCGGCCUUGUAGAUGCCGGAGUGAUCGACGAUCAGCGCAUUGGUGAUGACAGUAUCGACAGCGCCCUCGGCCCGCGUUGCCUGGCUCUGUCCCAUGCCGUCACGAAUG